GAUGAAGAACGUAGCGAAAUGCGAUAAGUAAUGUGAAUUGCAGAAUUCAGUGAAUCAUCGAAUCUUUGAACGCACAUUGCGCCCGCCAGUAUUCUGGCGGGCAUGCCUGUUCGAGCGUCAUUUCAACCAUCAAGCCCCCGGCUUGUGUUGGGGACCUGCGGCUGCCGCAGGCCCUGAAAAGCAGUGGCGGGCUCGCUGUCACACCGAGCGUAGUAGAUUUCAUCUCGCUCAGGGCGUGCUGCGGGUUCCGGCCGUUAAACCACCUUCAUAACCCAAGGUUGACCUCGGAUCGGGUAGGAAGACCCGCUGAACUUAAGCAUAUCAAUAAGCGGAGGA
rnacentral:misc_RNA from 1 species